GACGAACGCUGGCGGCGUGCCUAAUACAUGCAAGUUGAGCGAUGAAGAUUGGUGCUUGCACCAAUUUGAAGAGCAGCGAACGGGUGAGUAACGCGUGGGGAAUCCGCCUUUGAGCGGGGGACAACAUUUGGAAACGAAUGCUAAUACCGCAUAACAACUUUAAACAUAAGUUUUAAGUUUGAAAGAUGCAAUUGCAUCACUCAAAGAUGAUCCCGCGUUGUAUUAGCUAGUUGGUGAGGUAAAGGCUCACCAAGGCGAUGAUACAUAGCCGACCUGAGAGGGUGAUCGGCCAAAUUGGGACUGAGACACGGCCCAAACUCCUACGGGAGGCAGCAGUAGGGAAUCUUCGGCAAUGGACGAAAGUCUGACCGAGCAACGCCGCGUGAGUGAAGAAGGUUUUCGGAUCGUAAAACUCUGUUGGUAGAGAAGAACGUUGGUGAGAGUGGAAAGCUCAUCAAGUGACGGUAACUACCCAGAAAGGGACGGCUAACUACGUG
rnacentral:rRNA from 1 species